rnacentral:lncRNA from 1 species
UAAAUAAAGACUUUGCUGUUAAACUGAAAACGAAAAAACUACCAAACAGUUCCCGGUACAUAGUUGUGUAUUCUUCGUUGUGGGUUCUUCCAGUUGUAGCAUGUGGGACGCCGCCUCAGUGUGGUCCGAUGAGCAGUGCCAGGUCUGCGCCCAGGAGUCGAACUAACGAAACACUGGGCCGCCUGCAGUGGAGAUCUACAUUAGGAGAUUAAUGCUGAAUCAUCCUUGCCUCUUCCUGGAGAUUGUCUUCUGGUUUCUAUUUGUUGUGGCCAGAUCCCUGGGGCCACAGCUACAAAAGACAGGUCUGGGCACAGGAAUACCUAAUGCUUUCAAAUUUUGAAGUGGAGAGACACUGUCCCUGUGGAGAAGGCGCAUCGGACCUCCGGGUCUCAGCUCCUCCAGGUUUAUCUUCUUCCUGGGACUCUGGGCUCGUUUCUGCUGCAGCCUCUACGCUGGCCACAGGGCGGUGCAGCUUCCCUUUAGUGCUCAGUUCCAGCUCGAGGCCCAACUGUUGAGGUCAGGGAGUCCAACAUUUUGCUCUCGUACCUCCUAAAAGAAUUUUGAAAAUUUAUGUUCCUCUUCCACAUUUUAAAGAUCGUAUGUAUGGUGUUCAUAAAGUAGCUUACAACAUCAUAUGUUUAAAUAGAUGCAAUGGAUGACUACUUUGUGUGUUGUAAAUAUUGAUACUCCAAGCUGUUAUAUCACUUUAAAAUGUAAUCAGUGGAAGCUAAAUACCCAAGAGAUCUGAUACCCACUCUCAUAAUUUUCUAAAAAGUUAAAAAAUUUUGCAUAAUUC